GCUAUACAUGCAGUCGAGGGGCAGCACGAGUAGCAAUACUUGGUGGCGACCGGCGCAGGGUGCGUAACGCGUAUGCAACCUACCUAUAACUGGGGAAUAGCUCAGAGAAAUUUGAAUUAAUACCCCAUAAUAUCAAUUUUAGGCAUCUAUUUUUGAUUAAAGUUCCGACGGUAUAGAUGGGCAUGCGUGACAUUAGCUAGUUGGUAAGGUAACGGCUUACCAAGGCUACGAUGUCUAGGGGUUCUGAGAGGACAAUCCCCCACACUGGUACUGAGACACGGACCAGACUCCUACGGGAGGCAGCAGUAGGGAAUAUUGGGCAAUGGGCGAAAGCCUGACCCAGCCAUGCCGCGUGCAGGAUGACAGCCUUAUGGGUUGUAAACUGCUUUUGUGCGAGAAAAAACCUUCGAACGUGUUCGAAAUUGAUGGUAUCGUACGAAUAAGCAUCGGCUAACUCCGUGCCAGCAGCCGCGGUAAUACGGAGGAUGCAAGCGUUAUCCGGAUUUAUUGGGUUUAAAGGGUGCGCAGGCGGAUUUUUAAGUCAGUGGUGAAAUCCUACAGCUUAACUGUGGAACUGCCAUUGAAACUGGAAGUCUAGAAUUAGUUGAAGUGAUUGGAAUGUGUCAUGUAGCGGUGAAAUGCAUAGAGAUGACACAGAACACCGAUCGCGAAGGCAGAUCACUAAGCUAAUAUAGACGCUCAGGCACGAAAGCGUGGGGAUCAAACAGGAUUAGAUACCCUGGUAGUCCACGCCGUAACUAUGAUAACUAGCUAUGGGCGAUAUACAGUCUGUGGCUAAGCGAAAGCAAUAAGUUAUCCACCUGGGGAGUACGAUCGCAAGAUUGAAACUCAAAGGAAUUGACGGGGCCCGCACAAGCGGAGGAGCAUGUGGUUUAAUUCGAUGAUACGCGAGGAACCUUACCUGGGCUCGAACGUAGAAUGAUGUAUGCCGAAGGUAUAUCCCUUCGGGCAGUCUACGAGUGCUGCAUGGUGUCGUCAGCUCGUGCCGUGAGGUGUUAGGUAAGUCCUGUACGAGGCGCCACCCCUAUCUUUAGUGGCCAGCACGUAAUGGUUGGGGACUCU
rnacentral:rRNA from 1 species